AGCAUAAUCAUUUGUCUUUUAAUUGAAGACUGGAACAAAAGAUUAAACAAUUUAAUUAAUAUAUUAAAAAUUAAAACUUAAAUUUAUUUUUUAUGUAAAAAAACAUUUAUAAAUUAGGAAGACGACAAGACCCUAUUAAACUUAACUUAAGUUUAACUGGGGCAGUUAAUCAAUUAUUAUUUUAAUAAAUAUUGAAGAACAAAAGAUCCAAUAAAAUUGAUUACAUGAUCAAGUUACUAUAGGGAUAACAGCGCAAUAUUAAUCUAAAGAUCUUAUUUAAAUAAAAGAUUACGACCUCGAUGUUGAAUUAAUAAACUAAAUUAUCGCAAUAGAUAAAUGAAGUAAGUC
rnacentral:rRNA from 1 species